rnacentral:snoRNA from 1 species
AUUCCAUGAUGGGGACAUUCUAGGAUAUAGUCUUCAAAGCGCUCUCAUGCUUCUGGAACAGAUUCAUCAUUUUGUUGCUGAAAACUUGUAAUCUUCCCACAGAGAGC